CUAAAGGACCGUUACCAGUCUGUUUCCAGUGGGGAGACAGAACAGAAAGCCACCAACUCCUGCUGGCUGGGACAUCUUAGUCAGUGAGUCUGUAGUUCCUGAUGCCACUGGUCCUCCUCCAUCUGCUUCGGCACGAGCUCCCUGCCUCUCUUCUCUGGCUGCUCAGCCUGCCCUCAGCCACGACACCAUGAGCAAGCUGAACCCAGUCCGUGACUUCAAAGCCUACACCGAGAGUGCCUCGGCUUCCCUCUC